CGGACGUCAACACAGAACACUGGCACGCGACGACGCUACAACAUCUUCUGUACUAACACGCUCCUCAAACGACCAUAAACCCUAUACGAGUUGACCGAGGUAGCUGCAGUGUCACCACAAGAACAAUUCGGAGCGUCUACAAAAUUUACCUGUUGCUGGAGAACUCGAUCGCAACAAUUCCUUUCCUACUCCAGUUCUACCGCGGUUAGUGGAUCCUUCCCACAGCAUUACAGUGAGUUUCCUAGUGUUAAACUACAAGAAAUUUGUCUCCAAAAAAACUGCUUUCCAGUAUCUUUGUUAUUUCUUCUACCCCAUUUGUGGGUCGUGAGCUGUAUUGCAUUACAUUCUGUGCAAGUAAAGUCAAACUUGUACAUAUUGAAUAUCCAGUAUAUGUAACCAAUAAAGUUUUUCUAUUUAUGGAAUAAUCCAAA
rnacentral:lncRNA from 1 species